GAUUGCGGCGAUUACGAUUCCAACAAUCACUUUUUCAAUCACCCGUAAUCGCCAGAAGUCGCAAUCGCUGCGAUUGCGGGCGAUUGCGUUACCACCAGUCAUACCCUUAAACAUCUCUCUCCCUCUCUCUCUCUCCUGAAUGGUGUGCGACUGAUCUUCCCUGUCUCCGGAGAUAGUCGGUCUUCGUGCCAUUCAGACUUGGCCAAUUGACUUUAAAUAAAAACAUUCCCAUUCCCAUUCCUAUGUUUGAUAGUCCGACACAGGUAAUGCCUCCGCGUGUGGGUGCAGCCAAGUACUCUCUGACCCUCCAGAAUUCAUCAUAGAGAGAGAGAGAGGAAAGGGGCUUAGAGACGUUGAAUACGAGGAGGGUGGAGUGACGGCGGAGGGAAUCCAAGAAAGUUCAAAUGGACGAGCCAUUAAGCAUUGAUUUUUACAAAACGCAGUUUCCCCUCAAAUAUAUCAUACUAAUGUGAUAAACUCAAUUAAAUACUUCGUUACUAUAUCGAUCUCUUCUGUUCAGGCUGCUUGAUUCGUGUGAGCGCCGUCAUUGCAGAUUCAGAUGAAAAAAAAACUUAAAAUCUGAUCAAAAUGCACAUUUGCUAUUCUUCCUACUACCUUUUCACCAAGGGUAACGGUGAAAACGGGCUUUCACCAUUGGUCAUUUGAGCUCGAAUAUCACAUGAUAUGUCCCGAUAGUAGCAUAUGCUUGUUAUUAAAUGCAAUCAAUCAACUAAAGUGACCCAUCAAUGUGCAACUCCUUUUCAUCUCUCUCCAACCAUUUUUUCACUCCCAUGAGAGAGAGGGAAGAGUACAUACCGAAUGCCCUUUCGGUGACUUGGCUUUGGCAAGCUGGAGUCUCGAGAUAUGGAAAGAAAAACUCUCAGGUCAAAAGUCAAAGGCCCAUCAAC